rnacentral:rRNA from 1 species
GUGUCAGCCGCCGCGGUAAGACGAACCUUGCUAACGUUAUUCGGAAUUACUGGGCUUAAAGGGUGCGUAGGCGGUGCAGCAAGUCGGGUGUGAAAGCCCUCAGCUCAACUGAGGAAUUGCGCCCGAAACUGCUGUGCUUGAGGAAUACAGAGGUAUGCGGAACUUAGGGUGGAGCGGUGAAAUGCGUUGAUAUCCUAAGGAACACCGGUGGCGAAAGCGGCAUACUGGGUAUUUUCUGACGCUCAUGCACGAAAGCUAGGGUAGCGAACGGGAUUAGAAACCCUUGUAGUCC